rnacentral:lncRNA from 1 species
GAAAUUUGAUAAUUUAUUUGCAGUGUUUCUCUAUUUAUUAAAAGCUGACAAUUUCUCUAACAGUUUUUCUUGUAUAUUCCUUCUGUAGUGUUUUCUUUUGUUUCAGGUGAAAACCGAUGGAGAUGGAGGCUUUGUCUAUUGACGAUUUGGUGCCGCAGAGGGUUUUGGGCCCUGUACUCCAGGCUUUUAUGGUUCAAACUUCGAUUAAUAUUGCAAACUUUCUUGCUUUCCUUCUUUUUACGGUAUAAAACACUCCUUUUUUCACUAUAUCUUUGCUCAAUAAUUCUGUGUCAUUCAUUUUGUACGAAGUUUCGAUUUUUGGAUGCGUGCUUGUCACAUAAUCUUUUAAUAAAUUUUGGAUUUUUGUGUACAAAAUCAGAG